UACGUAGGGUGCAAGCGUUGUCCGGAAUUAUUGGGCGUAAAGAGCUCGUAGGCGGUUUGUCGCGUCGGCCGUGAAAUCUCCACGCUUAACGUGGAGCGUGCGGUCGAUACGGGCAGACUAGAGGUAGGUAGGGGAGAAUGGAAUUCCCGGUGUAGCGGUGAAAUGCGCAGAUAUCGGGAGGAACACCGGUGGCGAAGGCGGUUCUCUGGGCCUUACCUGACGCUGAGGAGCGAAAGCGUGGGGAGCGAACAGG
rnacentral:rRNA from 1 species